GAUGAACGNCUGGCGGCCCUUCUUAACACAUGCAAGUCGAACGGAGUGCCUUUGAAAGAGGAUUCGUCCAAUUGAUAAGGUUACUUAGUGGCGGACGGGUGAGUAACGCGUGAGGAACCUGCCUUGGAGUGGGGAAUAACACAGUGAAAAUUGUGCUAAUACCGCAUAAUGCAGUUGGGCCGCAUGGCUCUGACUGCCAAAGAUUUAUCGCUCUGAGAUGGCCUCGCGUCUGAUUAGCUAGUUGGUGGGGUAACGGCCCACCAAGGCGACGAUCAGUAGCCGGACUGAGAGGUUGGCCGGCCACAUUGGGACUGAGACACGGCCCAGACUCCUACGGGAGGCAGCAGUGGGGAAUAUUGGGCAAUGGGCGCAAGCCUGACCCAGCAACGCCGCGUGAAGGAAGAAGGCUUUCGGGUUGUAAACUUCUUUUCUUAGGGACGAAGCAAGUGACGGUACCUAAGGAAUAAGCCACGGCUAACUACGUGCCAGCAGCCGCGGUAAUACGUAGGUGGCAAGCGUUAUCCGGAUUUACUGGGUGUAAAGGGCGUGUAGGCGGGAUUGCAAGUCAGAUGUGAAAACCACGGGCUCAACCUGUGGCCUGCAUUUGAAACUGUAGUUCUUGAGUACUGGAGAGGCAGACGGAAUUCCUAGUGUAGCGGUGAAAUGCGUAGAUAUUAGGAGGAACACCGGUGGCGAAGGCGGUCUGCUGGACAGCAACUGACGCUGAGGCGCGAAAGCGUGGGGGGCAAACAGG
rnacentral:rRNA from 1 species